rnacentral:rRNA from 1 species
UAGUAGCGGCGAGCGAGCGGGAAGAGCUCAAAUUUAUAAUCUGGCACCUUCGGUGUCCGAGUUGUAAUCUCUAGAAAUGUUUUCCGCGUUGGACCGCACACAAGUCUGUUGGAAUACAGCGGCAUAGUGGUGAGACCCCCGUAUAUGGUGCGGACGCCCAGCGCUUUGUGAUACAUUUUCGAAGAGUCGAGUUGUUUGGGAAUGCAGCUCAAAUUGGGUGGUAAAUUCCAUCUAAAGCUAAAUAUUGGCGAGAGACCGAUAGCGAACAAGUACCGUGAGGGAAAGAUGAAAAGCACUUUGGAAAGAGAGUUAACAGUACGUGAAAUUGUUGGAAGGGAAACGCUUGAAGUCAGACUUGCUUGCCGAGCAAUCGGUUUGCAGGCCAGCAUCAGUUUUCCGGGAUGGAUAAUGGUAGAGAGAAGGUAGCAGUUUCGGCUGUGUUAUAGCUCUCUGCUGGAUACAUCUUGGGGGACUGAGGAACGCAGUGUGCCUUUGGCGGGGGUUUCGACCUCUUCACACUUAGGAUGCUGGUGGAAUGGCUUUAAACGACCCGUCUUGAAACAC